rnacentral:rRNA from 1 species
CCUACGGGCGGCAGCAGUGAGGAAUAUUGGUCAAUGGGCGCGAGCCUGAACGAGCCAAGUCGCGUGAGCGAAGACGGUCCUAUGAAUUGUAAAUCUCUUUUGUCGGGGAGAAAAAGACGUCUGGCGUGGCGUUCCGAGUGUACCCGAAGAAAAAGCAUCGGCGAAAUCCGUGCCAGCAGCCGCGGUAAUACGGAGGAUGCGAGCGUUAUCCGGAGUUAGUGGGUUGAUAGGGUGCGCAGACGGAAUAGUAAGUCAUCGGUAAAAUUGAGGGGCUCAACCUCUUCGAGCAGUUGAAACUGGUAAGCUAGAGUAAGCGAGAGGUAUGCGGAAUGCGUGGUGUAGCGGUAAAAUGCGUAGAUAUCACGAAGAACACCAAUUGCGAAGGCGGCAUGCCGGCGCUCAACUGACAUUGAUGCACGAAAGUGUGGGUAUCGAACAGGAUUAGAUACCCCUGUAGUC